CGUCAAGUCCUCAUGGCCCUUAUAGGUGGGGCUACACACGUCAUACAAUGGCUGGUACAGAGGGUUGCCAACCCGCGAGGGGGAGCUAAUCCCACAAAACCAGUCGUAGUCCGGAUUGCAGUCUGCAACUCGACUGCAUGAAGUCGGAAUCGCUAGUAAUCGCGGAUCAGAAUGUCGCGGUGAAUACGUUCCCGGGUCUU
rnacentral:rRNA from 1 species